rnacentral:lncRNA from 1 species
GCAACGGGGACGCUCAGUCCCAGCUGCCCGGCCAUGGCGAUCGGAGAGGAGCAUCYGUCCGCGCUCUCGGACAGGCAGGUAAAGCUGUGCGUGCACGGGCAGCCCUCCGCGGAGACCCUGUCCGGGCCUCGCGCGCCUGCGCUGGCCGCGGGGCCCCCCCUCGCCCCGGAGAUGCGGGGAGGCUGCAAGAGGCGGCGGGSACGGGAGCAUCCGCCAGCGAGCAGGUCCCGGCCCGCGCGGACGAGGAGCCGGGGGUCUCCAGCGCCCGGUGGCGUUUCCCGCGGGCGGCAGCUUCUGCUUGGCUCGCCGGCGUCGCCGUGACUCACCGUCCCACGCCGCUCCGGCUCCGGCUCCGGCUCCGGCGGUCCCUCGGGUGCCUCCCUGCCCUGCAGGCAGCCCCGCACUGCCCUGUCUGGGAGCCGCUCGCAACCGCGCGCCCGGGGCUGGACGCGGCUUCUGGGCGCUGCCCUGCCCCGGGCGAGGGAAACCGGCCCGUGGCCCGCAGGGCUGCUCGGCUCCUGGCACUGGGAUCCCAGCUGGGGACGCUGGAACACCCGAGGGGAGCGACUCCGGAUGCGCUCGGGGCGCCGCGUCCUCUGGACACGGAGGGGGAACAAGGCUUUUGCUGCGGCGAAACCGGACCCAGCGCUCGCCUCUCCCCUUGCAGAUCUUCGUGCUGACGUGCACCUACCUGCCGGCCUCGCUGCUGAGCCUCGUGGGCAGCGGAUCGGUCCUGGUGGCGACCACCCGGUGCGGGCGGUGCUGCCGCAGCCAGGUGCGUGUCCGGAGCGGGAGCCGAGGGGACCUGCGCAGCCAGGGAUGCAGCUGCUGGGAGUCAACGAGCGCCGUCUUCCACCCCCCAGCUCCGGCCCCUUUUCCUCUUGGCCCUGGCCGAUUCCCUGGCUGCGGCAGCGCUGCUCUGCACGGCCGCCGUCCAGCUCCUGCCAGCCCCGCUCUUCAUCCCUGCCUACGCCUUCUGCCCCUACGGACGCGCGCUGGCCACGACCUUCUACGCGGUCUCCUUCCUCAUGGUCAUCGUCUACGCCUACGAAGCCUACCGCGCCAUGCACGGCUGGCGAGCGCAGCCCGCGGCGCAGGUCAGUGCCCUGCCGGCUCCGUUACCUGCCGAUCCGGUGCAGGGCGAGCGGGGAGGACGCAGCCGGGGCUCUGCUGCCCUGUGCCCACAGCACCGGCCCCGCGGCAGCCCGGGCUGGCGCAUCCCCAGGGAUUGCAGCGGCUCCUGCUGCAGCCGCGGGGGCUGCCCCGUCCCGGAGGAGCCGGGGCCAUGCCGUGUCCUUGCAGGGCAGCGGCCGGUGCCCGGCGAGCGCGUGGCAGGGGCUGCCCUACGUCCUGGCCUGGUAG